AACGAACGCUGGCGGCAGGCCUAACACAUGCAAGUCGAGCGCCCCGCAAGGGGAGCGGCGGACGGGUGAGUAACGCGUGGGAACGUACCCUUUUCUGCGGAAUAGCCCAGGGAAACUUGGAUUAAUACCGCAUACGCCCUUCGGGGGAAAGAUUUAUCGGAGAAGGAUCGGCCCGCGUUGGGUUAGGUAGUUGGUGGGGUAAUGGCCUACCAAGCCGACGAUCCAUAGCUGGUUUGAGAGGAUGAUCAGCCACACUGGGACUGAGACACGGCCCAGACUCCUACGGGAGGCAGCAGUGGGGAAUCUUCGGCAAUGGGCGCAAGCCUGACCGAGCCAUGCCGCGUGAGCGAUGAAGGCCUUAGGGUUGUAAAGCUCUUUCGCCAGGGAUGAUAAUGACAGUACCUGGUAAAGAAACCCCGGCUAACUCCGUGCCAGCCGCCGCGGUAAUAC
rnacentral:rRNA from 1 species